CCUAGUGGCAGCCCAGGGUGGCUCCUGCAUGAGGCUGCAGGUGCCUUCUGUAUCAGAGAUUUGCUACACUUUACAGGGUCCACUAUUCAGAGUUUGACUCUUUCUCCCCUAGUCAAGCUUCCCCACUCCCUAGAGCAAUCUCCUGUGACCCCUGGGGACUUGUAUGUAGCUGUCCAGGGAAGAUGGUCUGCCUGAAGAGGUCAUGGAGGAGUUUUGGCGAGAUGGGAAUUCCAGCCCAGCCCAGCCCAGCCUGCACUUCCAGUCAUGGGAAAGCUCUGUGCAUCCAGGGGAACAGAUGGAGCGCAGCCUCUAGAAUGCUUGAAUUAGGUAUGUGGCUCACAGUUCCAUUGGGCGGUGCUAUGCAGCCCUGGGUGCCAGCUCCCCGUGGGCUCUCACCUUGUGGCUGCCUCUCACAAGUUCACCAAGAAACCCGAGGCACACCACUGACCCGGGAACAGAGGCCAAGUGGAGCUAAACUCAGAUCAGAUCUGAACUGAAACCAUCAGGGACUGGAGAUUGGCCCAACACUCCACCAAGAACAGCUUCUGAAAUAAAAUGAGGAUGAGUGCAACUCUACCUGCAACUCAGACAAAACAUGAACGUCAUCCAAACCACAAAUAGGACCAGACACCUCCCUUCCCUGGCUGUUGAGUGACUGCUGCUUCUUUACAAUCCCAGCUUUACAGCCUUACUUUCUCAGUGAAAAUUAGGAUGCUGGGUCACAGAAUUCUCCUGCUUCUUGAUGACAUCCAAUCCAGAACAAAGCCAUCCCCAAAGUCCCAGAUAGACACUUAAGUCCUCUAAAGUCCUAAAGACCUUGGGCUGAGACUCCCCAUGGCAUGUGACUUCCUUCAUUCAAUGAAUCAGUCAAACCAAGUUUGGGGUUUGCCUGGCGGCUCAGUGGUAAAGAAUCUGCAGGCCAAUGCAGGAGACACAGGUUUGAUCACUGGUCCGGGAAGAUUCCACAUGCUGCAAAGCAACUAAGCCUGUGUACCACAACUUCUGAGCCUGUGCUUUAGAGCCCAGAAGCCACGACUACUGAAGCCCUCUUGCCCCAGAGCUGGUGCUCCACAUCAAGAGAAGUCACCGCAAUGAGAAGCCUGAGGACUGCAACUGGAGAGCAGUUCCCGUUCAUCACAACUUGAGAAAAGCCUGAACAGCAACAAAGACUCAGCACCAUCAAAAAGAAAAAUAAAUAAAAAAUAAAAAAAACAAAUAAAAUCAACUUUGUUCAGUUAUGUGUUCUGAAGGGUCUUUGACUACAGGCAACUAACAACCCUUAGCCAUGAACAUCCUUCCCAGGCUAGCAAUGCCAAUGGUUGCCACUGUGCCUGUAUCCUGGAAAGCAGAGACAGGAAAUAGGCACAGCAGGGGAGAAAAUCGGUGGCAGCUAAAGGCUGACUCCUGCAGAGGGCCUUCCCACGGCCAGUCCUAGAUUGUGCAAUGUUCUGUUCCUUUCUCCCACUAAAAGAAAGCUCAUUAGAAAAGAGAAAUUUAUUAAUAUUAUAGGAUUACCCAUGAGCCUACACACAUAUACAAUAAACCCGUUCACUAACUUCAGUACUUUAAAAAUUACAAAUUACUUGCGAUUCAAGUUACAAAUGAUGGACACAGCAUUAAAGAAUGCAAACUCUUCAGAGUCCUACAACCAGCUGGAAUGAUGAGCCAGAAAAGUCUGUCCUGUUUUUCAGUGUCUGACCUGAAAAAGUUACUUAAACUGAGCCUGUUUCCCACAGGCUCCACAAUAGACACCAUCAAACUCCUGUGAGAUAACAGACUAAAGGCCCGGUACACAACCUGCACACAGUUAAGUGGUGAUGGGUAGGGCUCGGUCACCAGUCACUUGGUAACGUUUCCCACCUCACAGCCCCUCUUCCCUACUGAACUGACAACUCCUCUGUCACUCCGUCUCACCCAAAAGGCUGGAAACAUCUGGAGCCCAGGAGGUGUCUUACUGUUCUCUGCUCUCUACCCUCUACUAGUCCCCACUAAGAACUGGCACAUGACGGGGACUCGGCAAAGGCUUGAUGAUUGAAAAAUAUCAAAACUCGAGCGCUGGGGCCUCCCUGGUGGCUCGGUGGUAAAAGAGUCGGCCUGCCAAUGCAGAGACAGAGGUUCGAUCCCUGGUCAGGGAAGAUCCCACACGCCGCAGAGCAAUUCAGCUCUGUCACAACUACUGAGCCUGUGCUCCACAGUCCAAGUUCCGCUACAGAGAAGCCAGCGCAAUGAGAAGCCCACACAGCAAUGAAGACCCAAGACAACCAAAAAUUAAUAAAACUUAAAAAAACUUCUCAGCUGAAAUCAAAAUUGAAUAGAUUCAAAUUCAAGUGAUUUUUUUCCUCCCCUUUGAUGCCUCCCAGA